UAUGAGCAUCCACUUCUGUAUUUUCAGGCC
rnacentral:piRNA from 1 species